rnacentral:sRNA from 1 species
UGGAUAAAGAAUACAAAAAAAUGUGGC